UAAUGGGUAACUGAUAAAAUUCAAACACCUCAAAUCGGGUUAUGUCCAACAAACAGCCUAGUUCCUCUCCGGAUGAAACAACAAAAGACAAAGGGAUUUUCCUACUAUUAAAGUUGCCAAGCGUGGUUAGUGUUACAACUUUUCAAAACAUUUAAAACAACUCCACCUUUGGCGUCAUCAAUGAUGAGGGAAAUCAGUGAAUAAAACCACAACGCCCAAUAGCAUUAGACGCCAGUGUUGACACACCGGAUCACACCGCGAAUUCCACCAGAAAAAUAAACGUUCGAUAAUUAUUGUUCCAUAGGCGACCACUUCGCCUAACAAUGCAGCACCCAAACUAAAACACGAGCCUUUAUUACCAUAUUUAACAUUCGUUGUCCAGACGGCGUUCCGGUAGGACCUAGAGAGGAGAGGAGGAUCCUCUCGCCAUUACGUGUUUCCUGCUCAGAGAGGUUUUCAGCAAGACCUUGGUUUUCAGUUCGUCAUGGCUUCGCACUUCACGCUGCUGCUGUGCAUUUCCCUGGGAAUUGUCGCCGCUUCUGGAAAGUCCUGUGGCCCUUGUAUAUUCUUCUGCGUAAAUCCUGACACACUUAACUGUCCGUACGGACAAGUAAGGAACCCGUGUACAUGCUGUUACGUGUGUCUUAAGGGCGAGGGUGAACAGUGCGGUGGCCCUAAUAACAUGUUUGGCACCUGCGCAGAAGGGCUGAUCUGUCGCGGGGGACACGGCAAGGAGAAACCAGGUCAUUGCAAGGCCCAUCGACCUAUCGGACGGUAAUACGAAUCCUAUGUGGCUUGGCUAAGGACAGUGUUUCCGAAGAAAGGAGUGGGUGUUUGCUGAACUCUCUUUUUGAGAAUGUUGACUGUAUCUAGCCGAGAGAAUUCGUGGAUUCUGUAUGAAGACGACCUCAGAAUAUAUUUUGGCUACUCUUACUCUGAGAUUCAGUAAAUAAAAUGGUUGAUGGGUCUCAUUUAUUAUUUGUACACUUAUUUCACAGCAGCCACUGUUUUGAUUACUAAUUGGUCAUAAGAUAUCCAAAGUUGUCAUUAGGUAUUAAAAGUUGUCGUUAGGUUUCAAACUGUCGAAACUUAAUAAAAGCAACACCAA